rnacentral:rRNA from 1 species
UACGUAUGGUGCAAGCGUUAUCCGGAUUUACUGGGCGUAAAGGGAGCGCAGGCGGCGCGCCAAGUCUGAUGUGAAACCCCGGGGCUCAACCCCGGGCAUGCAUUGGAAACUGGCGGGCUGGAGUGCCGGAGAGGUAAGCGGAAUUCCUAGUGUAGCGGUGAAAUGCGUAGAUAUUAGGAGGAACACCAGUGGCGAAGGCGGCUUACUGGGCGGCAACUGACGCUGAGGCUCGAAAGCGUGGGGAGCAAACAGG